rnacentral:rRNA from 2 species
AGAGUUUGAUCAUGGCUCAGAUUGAACGCUGGCGGCAGGCCUAACACAUGCAAGUCGAACGGUAACAGGAAGCAGCUUGCUGCUUUGCUGACGAGUGGCGGACGGGUGAGUAAUGUCUGGGAAACUGCCUGAUGGAGGGGGAUAACUACUGGAAACGGUGGCUAAUACCGCAUAACGUCGCAAGACCAAAGAGGGGGACCUUCGGGCCUCUUGCCAUCAGAUGUGCCCAGAUGGGAUUAGCUUGUUGGUGAGGUAACGGCUCACCAAGGCGACGAUCCCUAGCUGGUCUGAGAGGAUGACCAGCCACACUGGAACUGAGACACGGUCCAGACUCCUACGGGAGGCAGCAGUGGGGAAUAUUGCACAAUGGGCGCAAGCCUGAUGCAGCCAUGCCGCGUGUAUGAAGAAGGCCUUCGGGUUGUAAAGUACUUUCAGCGGGGAGGAAGGUGUUGUGGUUAAUAACCGCAGCAAUUGACGUUACCCGCAGAAGAAGCACCGGCUAACUCCGUGCCAGCAGCCGCGGUAAUACGGAGGGUGCAAGCGUUAAUCGGAAUUACUGGGCGUAAAGCGCACGCAGGCGGUCUGUCAAGUCGGAUGUGAAAUCCCCGGGCUCAACCUGGGAACUGCAUUCGAAACUGGCAGGCUUGAGUCUUGUAGAGGGGGGUAGAAUUCCAGGUGUAGCGGUGAAAUGCGUAGAGAUCUGGAGGAAUACCGGUGGCGAAGGCGGCCCCCUGGACAAAGACUGACGCUCAGGUGCGAAAGCGUGGGGAGCAAACAGGAUUAGAUACCCUGGUAGUCCACGCCGUAAACGAUGUCUACUUGGAGGUUGUGCCCUUGAGGCGUGGCUUCCGGAGCUAACGCGUUAAGUAGACCGCCUGGGGAGUACGGCCGCAAGGUUAAAACUCAAAUGAAUUGACGGGGGCCCGCACAAGCGGUGGAGCAUGUGGUUUAAUUCGAUGCAACGCGAAGAACCUUACCUGGUCUUGACAUCCACAGAACUUUCCAGAGAUGGACUGGUGCCUUCGGGAACUGUGAGACAGGUGCUGCAUGGCUGUCGUCAGCUCGUGUUGUGAAAUGUUGGGUUAAGUCCCGCAACGAGCGCAACCCUUAUCCUUUGUUGCCAGCG